AUAAUGCGUAAAAGAAUCCCUCAUAUAAUUUUGGGAAUAUGGCCCAAAAGUCUCUACCCAAUAACCGUAAAUUAUUGGACUAUGAGGGAAAGGAUCGGUUUU
rfam:Geobacillus sp. B4113_201601 NODE_231, whole genome shotgun sequence.